UUGCGCCUGCGGCGGACCCGGCACGGCCAGCAACAAGGCGGCCCCGAUGCAUAACGCCGCCUUUUGACUUCGCAGGCAGUCGGCACGUGUACGGCCCGGUACAUCCAUGAAUUUCAUGGAUUUAAUUUCUUCU
rnacentral:ncRNA from 1 species